AAUGGAGUGGUUUGGAUUCUGUGAUUCUGUGAAGGCUCUUCCUGCAACACAGACAGCACUCAGCUGCUCACCCAGGUUCUUCUUGCUCAAGGGGCAGAGGGCUGCUUUUCCAUGAGCAUAAGGGCUGUUGUUCCUGAGUUCUGUGUAGCCAUGGUGAGCUCUGUGGUCAUGUAAACAUUACACAAUGGAGAUCCCCCGCUGGCUGAGGGCAGCAGAGGCACUACAGGGCUCCUCCUCUUUGGAUUGCUCUUCCUAGGGGAGUGCAGCACUUCAUGAAAUCACGACAGCAAGCUCUGGAGGUGCCAGCAAGCCUGCAGCCCUCUCAGCAUUACGCUUGCAUUGCUGAGAAGAUGGGUCACAUUUCUGGGAAUCCACCCUGACCUCCUCUGGUGAUGCUCUCUGAGGAUAGAGACAGGGAACAAAUAGAUGCUUCUUACCCAGCUGCUGGUUCCACUUGAGGAACUUCACAACUCUGGGUGAUUAACAAGCUCCUGGAUGCUUGCAUGUGGGGCCUUCCCUUCUGGACAGACCUCCAGGAGAUACGGUCAGGACAAGGUGAUGGUGUGGGCAGCACCUGCUGGGGGUAAUGGGGCAGGAAGAAGGAGCAGAGAGAGCACUCUGGAUCUUCCCUCAUUCCUAAGGGUUGACAGCAGGACACAUAUCCAGCACAAGUCCUCGUUGUGCUCCUUGACUCGGGGGCAAUAUGGCUUACAGGAAGAAAAAAAUAUAGGCAGACAUCUUUAGCCCUUCGCGAGAAGAUAGCUGCUGGCUGGCCUGGUGGGAAGCGAUGUGCCAGGGAGAAGUAAAAUGAGAUGAAAGCUCUGCCAGCAUGUCACCACGAGUGCUUCUGUAGAAACAGUACGAGUACGAUGAGCAAACCUUUGACCGCCUAUUGGAAACAGAUUUUUCUCGACACAGAAGCAAUCCCUUUGGAACGAGAGCCCUGACCAAAGCUGGGCGUCAGAGAAGGGCUUACAGCGAGUUGUGGGGAGGAAGGAAACCCGCCAGUGGGACAGACAGCAUUGCCUUUUGUUUUAGUUUGUAGCGCUGAUUGUUGACUCCUUUUUGAUUUCACAAGAAUCUCUGGAUUUUGUCAACUUCCUUCAGAGAUUUUGCUGGGAAAAAAAAUGGUAACUGUGCUUAAUGUUCUCCUUUCUCAACAAAACCACUCAACUUUUUCAUUCAAAUCAAAAUUUUCCAUGGACAGCAAUGCGUGUUCCCCAACCAGCAGCAUAAACACAUUGGGCACUGCAUUACUCUCUAGAUAUUUGUAUUCCAGCAGCAAGAACUCAGGUCAGAGUCUUUUUCUGCUGGACCUCACGAAGCAAGAGACAACCUUACUCUGAAGACUUUGUAAUCAGAAUGGAAAAGACAGAGGACAAAAGAAAUGAAGGAAAAAAAAAUACUAUAAAUAUGCUUUAACAGAUGGAGCACUGAGGUGGCAGAAGAUGAAGUGAUUCUUUUGACGUCAUAAUCAUAGGAAAUCUAAGCCAAAAUGAAGAACUAAAUCCAUCCCUCUUGGAAGGCUCAGCACAUAUCUUUAACCACAGUCCAUCCUUUCCCUCCA